GUCUAUAGCCAUACCACCAUGAACAUGCCCAAUCUCUUCUGAUCUAGGAAGCUAAGCAGGGUUGGGCCUGGUCAUUACUUGGAUGGGAGAAUAUAAGAGUCCAAGGACAGGAAGGAGUGUGCUAUGGAAC
rnacentral:rRNA from 1 species